UACGUAGGUGGCAAGCGUUGUCCGGAAUUAUUGGGCGUAAAGCGCGCGCAGGUGGUUUCUUAAGUCUGAUGUGAAAGCCCACGGCUCAACCGUGGAGGGUCAUUGGAAACUGGGGAACUUGAGUGCAGGAGAGAAGAGUGGAAUUCCACGUGUAGCGGUGAAAUGCGUAGAUAUCUGGAGGAAUACCGGUGGCGAAGGCGGCAUCCUGGACCAACACUGACGCUGAGGCGCGAAAGCUAGGGGAGCAAACGGG
rnacentral:rRNA from 1 species